CCAAUCAGGUGUGAGUCUGGACCUGGUUUUCUACUGAACACACAAGUUCAUUCCCUCACUAUCACUUCGUCUGAACAGGAACGAUGACCACACUCUUUGUCGCUCUUUGUGUUCUUUCUUCUCUCUUCACAGCUGUGAAAAAUUUUGACAUCAAGGAGCUUCAUGUGAGAACAGUAAAGAGUGGAGAAGAUGUAACUAUGGAGUGUAACAUUAGCAGUGUCACAGGGAAAGAUAAAGUAGUUUGGUUCAGACAGAGUUCAGGAAAAUUGCCUCAGUAUUUUAUAAAACAAUACCUGAACAAUUUGGGCUACAAAUUUGUUGAGGGAUUUAAUGAUAGUCGCUUCAGUAUUAGUGUAAAUGAUGAUAAAUUUGAUCUCAAUAUUUACAAAAUAAGAGAAGAUGAUGGAGGAGAAUAUUUCUGUGGAGAAUCAGAAGGAAGUGUACUGAAGUUCACAUCUGGAACACAUCUGCAAUUUGAAGAUGAAGAGACGACACCCCAUCCUACAUCUGACCCAAGUGAGAGCUGUACUGCUAACAUGCGUGUGUUCUUCUGGCUCUCCAUUUCAAGAAUCGGAGUUCCGGUUAUUAUCCUUACAAUAUGUCACAAGGUUUUAAAAUCAAAAUCUUAAACUUGAUAAAAUUAUUUUAAUUUGUAUUUAAAAAGGAAAUGAGAUCUCAGCCUGUAUUUAGUCUCUAGGAGAAAGCACAAGUUCCCCUAAGUCAAGAGACAGAGACAGGAAGUGAUGCAAAAUUUCCUUCUUCUACAAAAAUGGCAGUGGAGUGUUGUGUGUGUGUGUGUGUGUGUGUGUGUGUGUGUGUGUGUGGGUGUGUGUG